GACGAGGGAUCCUAGCGUUGUUCGGAAUCAUUGGGCGUAAAGCGGGUGCAGGUGGCUUUGUAAGUCAGAUGUGAAAGCCCAGGGCUCAACCCUGGAAGUGCAUUUGAUACUGCGAAGCUUGAGUGUAGGAGAGGUUACUAGAAUUCUUGGUGUAGUGGUGAAAUACGUAGAUAUCAAGAGGAAUACCGGUGGCGAAGGCGGGUAACUGGCCUAACACUGACACUCAGACCCGAAAGCGUGGGGAUCAAACAGG
rnacentral:rRNA from 1 species